AGAAAACGCCCAAACCAAACAGGCCCUUAAUUCCCCGCUCCCCAAAUUCUCUUCCCCUUUCUCUCACAUCUUCGAAAAAUCUCAACCUCAAUCUCUCUUCACAUCUCCCUCACAUUUCGGCAAACCCUCAACCUCUCCUCCCCUCAAUUUGCACCAGUUCACCCACCUCUAUCUUCCCUCGAGUCUCAAAAUCAUAACCCGCAAUCUCUCAAACAUAACCUAGUUGUCGCCGCUAGGCUCGCCCUUGUCGCACAUAUGCUCACCGCUCAAGCUCUCACCACACUUGUGCUCGUCACAACCUCAAACACAGACCCUUGAGAUCUCCUGCAAUUCUAAGAUUCAUUGUAGAUGUUAUGUUGAAGCUCCUUCUCUCGAAGCCACAACACAUUGUCUGGUUUUAGGGUUUCUGAACCCACAAGCACAAGAGGGUGCUUCAACUUUGGGACUGAUUAUUCUGUGUACUGGGUGGAAUGAACUUAAUUCCCUAAAUCUGCCUACUAACAUUUGAAAUCUAUGAUGGGGGUGUUGGAGAUGUUGGUCUUGAUGAAUGUGAGAUGCAGCUUACUAAGGUACUGAUACAACAGCUACACAAGCAAUGGAGGGGAAUGACAUUCAGGGUCUUCCAUGGGAGAGCUUAAACAUAACGGGGUGAACAAUGCAGGAAUCAAUGGGUUCAACACACAUAAUAUGGUUGAUAGGAAAAGUGGAUGCAGCUCAUCGUCACAAGUGGAUAUAGAAAUAACCUAAUGAUCAAGAAAUCAACUUCUUUGCAUGGCACAAUUCAGCACUCGGUUUGUUGAUGGAUUUCAUCUUGAACUUGCAUUGGUACAAAUCUUAUCAUUCAAAGUGUUCCUCUA